rnacentral:lncRNA from 1 species
AUGUGCUUGGACUGUAGCUUUCACAAUGCUCUGAAAUGUUCAAACAGACACGGAAUCAUUAAAUCAGGAAAAGAUUCAAGCAAACUGAAGCCAUUCAUUAGCUUUCGGUGACCUAAUGAAUAGGAUCACCAACCUUGAAACAUGAAGUCCAUGUUCUGUUAGCUAAUAGCAACCAAUGCUUAAACUAGAAAACCAGUCCAAAUUAUCCAAUCAACAACACUCACACAUAGAAAGAGACAAAAGAACUUAACCUGUGAAACAAACAAAAGUGUUUUAAUAAUCAAUUCAUUCUUAAAAGGCACUAAAACUUAAUUUAGUUAAUGAUAGUGGAGACACGAACAUAAACUAAAUUUCAAAAGAAGCAUAAUACGUAGUUCAUCAAAGAAAAGAAAAAAGAACUUUAGUUAUUCCUGCACAUACCUUGUCUCAAACACCAUAUUCACAAAUUAAGAAUAGUUCCCUCAUUUUUAACAGGACUAUGUGUCACAUUCGUUUCAAUACUUUCAAUCUCUCUAGAAAUAUAGAAAAUGAAAGAAGCAUCUGCUAUAUGUCAAUCAUCCCAACAUUCGAUUAUCCAACGGAAAUAUAUUCUCACAUAUAAACAUCAGUGUAAAUGACAUGUGAAGUUGGUAAAGCAUGAGGGUAUGCAAUAACUGAGAAAAAAGCAAUACAUGUGCUUGUUUGUCACCUAAUUUAACAUA